AACGGACGCUGGCGGCAGGCUUAACACAUGCAAGUCGAGCGCCCCGCAAGGGGAGCGGCAGACGGGUGAGUAACACGUGGGGAUCUGCCCGAUGGUACGGAAUAACUCAGGGAAACUUAUGCUAAUACCGUAUGUGCCCGCAAGGGGAAAGAUUUAUCGCCAUCGGAUGAACCCGCGUCAGAUUAGCUAGUUGGUGUGGUAAAGGCGCACCAAGGCGACGAUCUGUAGCUGGUCUGAGAGGAUGAUCAGCCACACUGGGACUGAGACACGGCCCAGACUCCUACGGGAGGCAGCAGUGGGGAAUAUUGGACAAUGGGCGCAAGCCUGAUCCAGCCAUGCCGCGUGAGUGAUGAAGGCCUUAGGGUUGUAAAGCUCUUUCGCCGACGAAGAUAAUGACGGUAGUCGGAGAAGAAGCCCCGGCUAACUUCGUGCCAGCCGCCGCCGUAACAC
rnacentral:rRNA from 1 species